CCCUUAGACGUUCUGGGCCGCACGCGCGCUACACUGACCAGUGCAACAAGCAUCCGUCCUUGGCCGACAGGCCCGGGCAAUCUUUGAACGCUGGUCGUGAUGGGGAUAGACUUUUGCAAUUUUUGGUCUUCAACGAGGAAUUCCUAGUAAACGCAAGUCAUCAACUUGCAUUGAUUACGUCCCUGCCCUUUGUACACACCGCCCGUCGCACCUACCGAUUGAAUGGUCCGGUGAAGCCUCCGGAUUGGCGCGCACCUCGGUGCCGCCGAGAAGUUGGCUAAACCUUAUCAUUUAGAGGAAGGAGAANUCGUAACA
rnacentral:rRNA from 1 species